GAUGGAAAUGCAACCUCAAGUUCAAAAUGGGCAAUUACAGGAUCAAGAUGAGGCGUGCUGGCUGUCAGGAGGUCCUGCACAGACGAGUCUGAUAAACCAGUGGGCCUCCUUGCGGUCAUCAGUGACCAUGAUGCAGUCUAAAGUCCAGUUCACUACCAACCUGUGAGAGUCUCUGUCGUCAUUGAAAGUGAUGCCGGUGUCAGCCUCCCCAGACUUGGCGACGCCUUCCUGGUAAUCUUUGGACUGAUCUAUGCACUACACCUCAGCUAUCCCAAAGCACUGGCCAACACUUUGAAUUUAUUCAAAAGAUUUCACUUUUUUUUUUAAAAAAGGCUGCAGGGUUACCAGACUAGUUCAGUUUUUCUUUUGUCUGCUUACUGUAAUGCCUACUAAGUUACUGCACUACUCUACAGGUG